AUGUUUGGCCUCGAGAACGACCGUCAAACGCUCGAGCGCCAACUGCUAGCCAUCGAGUGCAAGUUGGCCAACGCCGAGGAGAGGAGUGAGACAAAUCGCUAUGUCAAGAGCUGGAUGAAGGAGCUCAAGUCUGUUGCCUACAAGGCCGACAAUGUGCUCGAUGACUUCCAGUAUGAGGCGCUGCGCCGCCAGUCUAAGAGCAAUGAGUCCACUUCCCGCAUGGUACUUGGCUACAUCACACGCCACAGCCCAUUGCUUUUCCGUUUUGAAAUGAGCAGGAAACUCAAGAACGUCCUCAAGAAGAUCAAUAAGUUGGUUGAGGAGAUGAACAGGUGUGACCUGGAGAAUUCUGUCAAUAGGGAGGAGCGGCAAAAUCCUUGGCGGCAGACGCACUCAAAACUAGACGAGACUACUAAGAUCUUUGGGAGAGAUGAUGAUAAGGAGGUGGUGGUGAAGUUGCUGUUGGAUCAGCAGGAUCAGCGGAGGGUGCAGGUGCUGCCCAUCAUUGGGAUGGGAGGUCUUGGGAAGACUACUCUUGCUAAGAUGGUCUAUAAUGACCAAGGGGUCCACCAACAUUUCAAGUUGAAGAUGUGGCACUGCGUGUCUGACAACUUUGAUGUCAUCGCUCUUUUGAAAUCCAUCAUUGAGUUGGCUGUAAAUGGAAGAUGUGACAUGCCUGACACGAUUGAGUUGUUGCGAAAGCAACUUGAGAAGGUCAUUGGCCAAAAUAGGUUUAUGCUCGUGCUUGAUGAUGUGUGGAAUGAAGAUGAGAGUAAGUGGGAGGAUGUCUUGAAGCCUCUUUUAUGUUCUAUUGGUGGAUCAGGAAGUGUAAUACUCGUCACAACUCGAAGCCAGAAAGUGGCCUCUAUAAUGCAGACCCUUCGACCCCGUAAGAUAACAUGUUUGAAUGAACAAGAUUCAUGGGAAGUGUUUGCACAGAAUGCAUAUAGCAACGGUGGGCAGGAGGAAAUAGAAUUGACCAGCAUUGGCAGAUGUAUUGUCAACAAAUGCAGGGGGCUGCCUCUUGCUCUCAGGACAAUGGGCGGAUUGCUAGGUUCAUAUCAACAAGUACAAGAAUGGAAGGCCAUCGAAGAAAGUAAUAUUAGUGAAAAUGUUAGAGGGAAAUAUGAAAUCAUGUCCAUCCUAAAGUUGAGCUACAAACACCUAUCAUAUGAAAUGAAGCAAUGCUUUGCAUUCUUAGCAGUUUUCCCCAAGGACUAUGAGAUGGACAAGGACAAGUUGAUCCAACUAUGGAUGGCAAAUGGUUUUAUUCAAGAGAAGGGAACAAUGGAUUUAACACGGAAAGGAGAAAUCAUCUUUGAUGAGUUGGUUUGGAGGUCCUUCCUCCAAGAUAAGCAGGAGUGCAAACACAGGUAUGGUUAUGUGACUGUUAACUGUAAGAUGCAUGAUUUAAUGCAUGAUCUAGCAAAAUAUGUCACAGAUGAAUGUGCAAGUAUUGAAGAACUGACUCAGCAGAAAGCAUUGUUAAAAGAUGUUUCUCACAUGCAAGUGACAGAGACUGAAUUGCAACUAAUUAGUGGGUUAUGCAAAGGCAGAACAUACCUCCGCACUUUGUUAUCUCCUUCAGAAUACUACAAGGAUUAUAAAGUGUUGCUCCAGGUAUCAGCAUCACUAAGAGCAUUGCAUUGCCCCCUCCUUCAAUUGUCAUUCGCAAGGCCAUAA
rnacentral:rRNA from 1 species